rnacentral:lncRNA from 1 species
GCAGAAUCCUACAGUGUUUGUCUUGCGCUGUGAAGGGGCUUCGUGGCGGGUGGUAGGAGGUUACUAGAAACCAAACAGGAACCAUUCAAGGGAGACAGAUGUUUUCAAAGCAGGAAGUUGCUGUGGCACGGUAGCGGUGUCUCUUUUCAUGCUGUUGUCUUUCAGUGGCUCGUACUGGUGAGAAGAUAGGGUUGCUAUGGGUGGGCAUGAGAAGAGUUCGCGACUACAGAGUCCUGGACGUGCUAUUGGCAGGUGGGGCACAGCUCACACUUAGGCUAUGGGCAGUCUGUCGGUGACUACUGUGGUCCCUGGGAGGCUUGGGGGGGGGCACAGAUCCAAGGCUGACCCCACCCAGUGUGCCUUAGUGGGGAAGAAAGCAUGUCUUUUUCUGCUUAAGCAGAAGAGGUGGUCCCAGGGGAUGAUUUAAUGGAGGCUAGGCCUUCGCAUCCCAUGUGGUUCUGGAAUCUUCUCCAGUCUACAGUUUAGAUAUUAACAGAUAUGUCUGUCUAGCUGGGCACUGCUAGGAAAGAAAACUAAGCCCUCAAAGGACUCCUUGGGACCCCCAGGGCUUCGCCUGGGCAGCUCUGGGUAGUGGUACAGCCACUUAGGAGGCUGGCAGCCAUAGAGCAGGCGCACGGCAGCAUGGAUAGAAUGAUAUGAUUAUGAUAACACUAUGAUACUAUAUGCCAUGCAGAGUAAGCAGAGGCAUAUUUGAAAAGCCGGACUCUAGGACCUGUGGGGAGUGAGGCAGGAGUCACUGUCAUUGUGGAUGACAAGUCACUUGCCAUUUUUCUGGGAGUCCCUGAGUGCUAGGGAGGAUGAGCAGCUAUAGGGGGAUAGGGAGGGGACUCUGGUGAGAAAGAAUGCCAGGGACAGGGUGAUAGGCAGACUCUGCCUUGAUUUCCCUUUCUGUAAAGUGAAGUCAGAAUGAUGCCAAGCCACACUGAGGUUUAGAGCUUACGCAGCUCUGCCUCAUUUUAGAUUGGUCCUACCUAGCCGGGGGUGGUGGUGGUAGUGAUGGUAGCACACGCUUUCAAUCCCAGCAUUUGGUAGACAGAGGCAGGUGGAUCUCUGAGUUCCAGGCCAGCCUGGUCUACAGAGCAAGUUCCACAACAGCAGGGCCACACAGAGAAACACCAUCUCUUGGGGGGAAAAAAAACCAAAAACAAAGACUAAAAUUGUUAGCCAUUUGUGUGUGUGUGUUGAGGCAUGUGUAGGGAAGCCAGAAGACAGUCUCAGAUGUUAUUCUCCAGGACCUGUCUAUCUGGUUUUUUAGACAGGUUCUCUCAUUGGCCUAGCUUGACACGUGGUUUACUGAGACUCUCCCCAGCCCCCAUUUGGGUGAGAGAUGAAACAGGCACAGAGCACUCUGCCAGCUCAUCCCAGCCCCCCCCCCCCCGCCC